rnacentral:rRNA from 1 species
GUAGACGGCCAUCUUAGGCUGAAAGCACCAUAUCCCGUCUGCUCUGUGAAGUUAAGCAUUCGCAAUUCGCUGUCUACG